UCCCCAAGGUAGAGGAGACCACAUCGAGAACAACGGACACAGUAGAUACCAUGUAUGGACGGUGCAGGAAAUACUCUGUUGGAUGUGGAAGGAUCCUUUGGCGCCUGAGAUGAGGAGUAGGUCAUCUACAUAUUGGAUAAGGCAGUCAAGCCGGGAAAACGUCUCACAUCCGUUUGCUAACCGUCUAUGAAAAAUUGAGGGACUAAAAGAAGAUAGGGUUAGAGGUCUUAAAAACAUUGGAAGAUCUGGUGUUUUGGAAAAAAUAACAACUGGCAAGAUUGACAGAAUACCUGGAAAGAUUUGAUGACAGAUUCUGCUUCUUAUUACCUAAAAGUGAUGGUUAAUAGUUCAUAACA